AGGUAGAUAGCUCAAGUGGUAGAGUGCGUGCUUAGCAUGCAUGAGGUCCUGGGUUCAAUCCCCAGUACCUC
rfam:Camelus ferus unplaced genomic scaffold scaffold475, whole genome shotgun sequence.